CGGGGGAUGGCUCAGUUUGGAUUAGAGCACAUGGUUUGGGACCAUGGGGUCGUGGGUUCGAGUCCCACUCCCCCGA
rnacentral:tRNA from 1 species